rnacentral:lncRNA from 1 species
UAUCGUGAUCACCCAGGACGGCACGAGGUACAUCGGGGAAUAAGUCCUUGUCACCUUCAGCCUCGGAGUUCUGCAGCACAACUUGGUCCAGUUCAUCCCGCCCCUGCCUAAAUGGAAGGACGUGGAGAUCAAGAAAUUCCAGAUGGUUGACCACACUCUAGUCUAUAUUUGCUUUCCACAGAAGUUUUGGGACGACUCCGAAUGGAUCCUGCACACCAGCGAUAGGAGAGGGUACUACCCAAUGUUCUUUAACUUCCAGGCUGAGGGUUUAUUUCCCAACGGCACACCACUUUUACUCGCUUUGAUCACUGGUGACGAAGCACGGCGUGUGGAAGCUCAGUCCCCUACCGAUACCAAGGCAGAGAUCUAGGCAGUUCUUCGUGGCAUGUACGGCGGCGCCAUCCCGGACGCCACUGGCAUCCUUGUCACCGACUGGAACCAGAACCCCCUGACCAAAGGUGCCUACUCCAACUUCCCCGUCGAGGUCACCACCGAGUGCUUCCAGAAACUCCAGAGCCGAGUACAUCGCGUCUUCUUUGGGGGUGAGGUCACGUCCUACGACUACUUCGGCACCAUAGACGGGGCUCUGCGAUCCGGCGAGCGUGAAGCGAUGAAGAUGAUAGACUGCAUGUCCAACUUCAGCGAGUGUCCCAUCUCUGGAAUUGACGGGCUAGAAUGCGAGGACUCUGGUGGAAAUUCUGCAUACGCCUCGCGUUCGAGUACAUUUCUCGCCGGGAUGGCACUUGGCCUGUUUCUUAUUAAAACAUUUCUUGCUGACUAGAAGAUCGGAUUUCAGUCUCAAAUUGAAUUCAACUUCACUUCUUUCCCUGAAUUUCAUUCCAUUGUAUUUGAGUAGCGCUUACAAUGAUCAGAAUUAAAGCCAAAAUCCUUGGUUUAACCCUUCCAUUUCGGCUCCAGGUCGACAGAUGCCAUAAAAUGUUUCUGAACCAUGCAAUCAAUACUUCGUACCAUUUUAUUCUGCUUACAUUUUAUUCCAUUAGUUUUCUUGACGUGCUUGUGCGUGGCAGCCAUUUUCAAGUCAGUGCUUUUGUUACUGAGGGAUACCCGAGCGGUCUGCUCAUGUGUAUCCCUGUGGAACAAAAAACAAACAAAACAACUCCCCCUCAUCCAAAAAAAAACAAUAACUAAAACAAAUUAGGGGUAGUAAUUGUUACAGCAACGACGACAGAGCUGUUUUUUAUUUCAAGUUGUUUAAUGGGGAAAAAUGAAAUAAAAAUCAAUAUAAACAAAAUCACAAGAUGACGUCAUGAUAACGUCAGAAAUCUGGAAUAGUUAUUGUAUCAGGGUCUUUGUUGGCUUAACUUUGAUAACGACCAAAGAUCUCAAAGUUACCAAAAUGGGGCUUGAAAACAUGAACAAAGUCGAUGACCUGAAAUACAUAUCGAAAAUCAAUAAUAAAUCAGACGAUGACGUCAUCAUGACGUCAUCCAUUUGGAAUAAUUCUUUUAUCAGGGCUUUUGUUGGCUUUCACUUUGAAAGCGAUCAAACAUCGCAUAGGUUAUAACUCUAAUGUUGGCUUGAAAACAUGUUCAAAAUCAAUGAGCUGAAAAACUCAUGCAGAAAACUGCUCUUUUCUGCUCUUGUCACGUGAUUUGCGUUUAAACUGAAAGAAUGUUAUGAACUAUUACUUGAUAUUUUUGACUCUUAAGUAUCUUUCAAAUCGAAUGACCCACCAUAAUAUAUACGAUUUCGCUUUCGUUUUCAUAGUUAUCUUGAGCCGAAAUUGGGGACUACUUUUAGUGAGUAGUAGAAAAGCGUUCACAACUCUAUGGCAACAAGUUGAAUAUUCAAAAUUCAAAAUUAAAUCUCGUGAUAACGUCAUCAUGUUGUCAUUAUUUUAGUAUUUUGUUAGCCUUAGGGUAAUUACUUAGUGUAACUUUUAUGAAGAUCUAAGAUUACUUAGUGACGAAAAUGAUGCUUCGAAUCUGCAUACGAAGGCUAUUGGAAAAUUAGAAUGCCCAAUCCGGCGUAAACGUUUCUUUAAACAACCCAGUCAAUUAUGUUGACUGAAUUUCCUAGUUCAAAAUUGACUACGGAUUCAGUAAAACACCAAGUUUACGUUGGCAAAUCAGGCUUUCUGACAAGAUUCCUAUUCGAUGCCUUUAGAAAUAUCAAUGAACUGAGUGAAAAAAAUCUAGUCAGGUUGACAAAUUUCCAGUUGAACCCAGCAGACCUUAUUGAGCUAGUCAAAUUUUACUGAAUUCUAGUUAAUUUUGACGGAUCCUUUUAAGACUGUAAGAGGUCAACGUUUCAUAUGUAUUUGAUAUAUAGUCAAUGUUUACUAAUUAACACUUUAUUCGUAAUUCAAUAAUUAGUAGUCGAGUUUAUUUUAAUUUUGAUUGAAUUUCAUUCACAGCUAAACAACCGUCAAAGUGUUAUUAUUGCACGGUCAUUAGAAUGGUGUAUACUUUCAAAGAAAAAUGAGAAUAAAACUGCAUGUACUCAAAUGUAACAUUCAGAGGUUCUGUAUGACACUGCAAAACGAUUAUUCCCAUUUUUAAUAUUUAGAAAGAUCAUCGUCAUAUUUUCUCAGAAACAGCACCCACGAAAGUGCAAAUUUAACAAGAUAUAAUAUGAUAAGAGCAUUAUACAGAACUUGCCUCAACAAAAUUUGAUCACGUGUACAGUAAAAGUACUUCGAUGAAACUCCCAGCAUUUCGAUACUUGCAAGGA